ACUAUGUGAAUCUCAACCUCCUUUGGAUGCUACGUGACUUGCAGAGCGUGGAUGGUUAUAGCUGGGGGAGUGCUGUUCUUGCAUACCUUUAUAGGAAGAUGUGCGAUUCCACCCAUAAAGUCACAAAAAACUUCGCUGGAUACGCCACGUUAGUACAGGUGUGGAUAUACGAGCGGUUCCCUACAUUAGCUCCCCGACACACGGCCACACCCCUGAUUAUCUACCCACUUGCGCUAAGGUGGACAGGGCCGUUUACCCGUACUGAGGUGCCGCACGGUCAGCGUCGUAUCACCCGGUACGAGCUGGAUAACAUGAUUGAGGCAAAUUUUCGGUGGAGGCCGUAUGCACAUUUUGAUGACGAG